rnacentral:rRNA from 1 species
UAUAGAAUACUCAAGCUAUGCAUCCAACGCGUUGGGAGCUCUCCCAUAUGGUCGACCUGCAGGCGGCCGCGAAUUCACUAGUGAUUGGGAUCGCCCUUAGAGUUUGAUCCUGGCUCAGGAUGAACGCUGGCGGCGUGCCUAAUACAUGCAAGUCGAGCGAAUGGAUUAAGAGCUUGCUCUUAUGAAGUUAGCGGCGGACGGGUGAGUAACACGUGGGUAACCUGCCCAUAAGACUGGGAUAACUCCGGGAAACCGGGGCUAAUACCGGAUAACAUUUUGAACCGCAUGGUUCGAAAUUGAAAGGCGGCUUCGGCUGUCACUUAUGGAUGGACCCGCGUCGCAUUAGCUAGUUGGUGAGGUAACGGCUCACCAAGGCAACGAUGCGUAGCCGACCUGAGAGGGUGAUCGGCCACACUGGGACUGAGACACGGCCCAGACUCCUACGGGAGGCAGCAGUAGGGAAUCUUCCGCAAUGGACGAAAGUCUGACGGAGCAACGCCGCGUGAGUGAUGAAGGCUUUCGGGUCGUAAAACUCUGUUGUUAGGGAAGAACAAGUGCUAGUUGAAUAAGCUGGCACCUUGACGGUACCUAACCAGAAAGCCACGGCUAACUACGUGCCAGCAGCCGCGGUAAUACGUAGGUGGCAAGCGUUAUCCGGAAUUAUUGGGCGUAAAGCGCGCGCAGGUGGUUUCUUAAGUCUGAUGUGAAAGCCCACGGCUCAACCGUGGAGGGUCGUUGGAAACUGGGAGACUUGAGUGCAGAGGAGGAAAGUGGAAUUCCAUGUGUAGCGGUGAAAUGCGUAGAGAUAUGGAGGAACACCAGUGGCGAAGGCGACUUUCUGGUCUGUAACUGACACUGAGGCGCGAAAGCGUGGGGAGCAAACAGAAUUAGAUACCCUGGUAGUCCACGCCGUAAACGAUGAGUGCUAAGUGUUAGAGGGUUUCCGCCCUUUAGUGCUGAAGUUAACGCAUUAAGCACUCCGCCUGGGGAGUACGGCCGCAAGGCUGAAACUCAAAGGAAUUGACGGGGGCCCGCACAAGCAGUGGAGCAUGUGGUUUAAUUCGAAGCAACGCGAAGAACCUUACCAGGUCUUGACAUCCUCUGAAAACCCUAGAGAUAGGGCUUCUCCUUCGGGAGCAGAGUGACAGGUGGUGCAUGGUUGUCGUCAGCUCGUGUCGUGAGAUGUUGGGUUAAGUCCCGCAACGAGCGCAACCCUUGAUCUUAGUUGCCAUCAUUAAGUUGGGCACUCUAAGGUGACUGCCGGUGACAAACCGGAGGAAGGUGGGGAUGACGUCAAAUCAUCAUGCCCCUUAUGACCUGGGCUACACACGUGCUACAAUGGACGGUACAAAGAGCUGCAAGACCGCGAGGUGGAGCUAAUCUCAUAAAACCGUUCUCAGUUCGGAUUGUAGGCUGCAACUCGCCUACAUGAAGCUGGAAUCGCUAGUAAUCGCGGAUCAGCAUGCCGCGGUGAAUACGUUCCCGGGCCUUGUACACACCGCCCGUCACACCACGAGAGUUUGUAACACCCGAAGUCGGUGGGGUAACCUUUUUGGAGCCAGCCGCCUAAGGUGGGACAGAUGAUUGGGGUGAAGUCGUAACAAGGUAGCCGUAAAGGGCGAUCCAAUCGAAUUCCCGCGGCCGCCAUGGCGGCCGGGAGCAUGCGACGUCGGGCCCAAUUC